UACGUAGGGUGCGAGCGUUAAUCGGAAUUACUGGGCGUAAAGUGUGCGCAGGCGGCCGAGCAAGUCGAGUGUGAAAGCCCCGAGCUUAACUUGGGAACUGCGCUCGAAACUACUUGGCUGGAGUGUGGCAGAGGGAGGUGGAAUUCCACGUGUAGCGGUGAAAUGCGUAGAGAUGUGGAGGAACACCGAUGGCGAAGGCAGCCUCCUGGGCCAACACUGACGCUCAUGCACGAAAGCGUGGGGAGCAAACAGG
rnacentral:rRNA from 1 species